rnacentral:tRNA from 1 species
UAAAUAUGAUUUAUUAAUUCUCAUAUUA